AGAGUUUGAUCCUGGCUCAGGACUAACGUUGGCGGUGUGUCUUAGACAUGCAAGUCGAGCGGAGUUUCGGUAGCAAUACUGGAACUUAGCGGCGAACGGGUGAGCAAUACAAGGGUAACCUGCCCUGAGGAUGGGUAUAGCCGCGAGAAAUCGCGGGUAAUCCCCAGUGUCGCGUCUCAGUCGCAAGACCAGGACGCGAAAGACGGAGCAAUCUGUCGCCUCUUGAGGGGCUCUUGUCCUAUCAGGCAGUUGGCGGGGUAACGGCCCACCAAACCUAUGACGGGUGGUCGGUGUGAGAGCAUGACCGGCCACAAGGGAACUGCGACACGGUCCCUACUCCUACGGGAGGCAGCAGUCUAGAAAAUUGGGCAAUGGGCGAAAGCCUGACCCAGCGACACCGCGUGCAGGAUGAAGGCCUUCGGGUUGUAAACUGCUGUCAGGCGGAACGAUGGUCAGCGCACUAACUAUGCGACGGCUGACGGUACUGCCAAAGGAAGCCCCGGCUAACUACGUGCCAGCAGCCGCGGUAAUACGUAGGGGGCAAGCGUUGUCCGGAAUUACUGGGCGUAAAGGGUGUGUAGGCGGUCUGGUAAGUCAGUGGUGAAAUCUCCGGGCUCAACUCGGAAACGGCCAUUGAUACUAUCGGACUUGAGGACAGAAGAGGAGGUUGGAACUUUCGGUGUAGCGGUAGAAUGCGUAGAUAUCGAAAGGAACGCCGAUAGCGAAGGCAAACCUCUGGGAUGUUUCUGACGCUGAAACACGAAAGCUGGGGGAGCAAACAGGAUUAGAUACCCUGGUAGUCCCAGCCCUAAACGAUGUACACUAGGUGUUGCUCGCAAGGGCAGUACCGUAGCUAACACGUUAAGUGUACCGCCUGGGGACUACGGCCGCAAGGUUGAAACUCAAAGGAAUUGACGGGGACCCGCACAAGCGGUGGAGGAUGUGGUUCAAUUCGAUGCUACGCGAAGAACCUUACCUGGGUUUGACAUGCUGAUGGUAGAAGCCGGAAACGGCGACGACUCGUAGUUUACUAUGGGAGUCAGCACAGGUGCUGCAUGGCUGUCGUCAGCUCGUGCCGUGAGGUGUAUGGUUAAGUCCCGCAACGAGCGCAACCCCUGUUGUUAGUUGCUAACCCGAAAGGGUGCACUCUAAGAAGACUGCCCGGGUCAACCGGGAGGAAGGUGGGGAUGACGUCAAGUCAUCAUGGCCUUUAUGCCCAGGGCUACACACGUCCUACAGUGGCCGUUACAAUGGGUUGCUACUCAGCAAUGAGAGGCUAAUCCCUUAAAAGCGGCCAUGGUUCGGAUCGCAGGCUGCAAUUCGCCUGCGUGAAGAUGGAAUCGCUAGUAAUCGCAGAUCAGCAUGCUGCGGUGAAUACGUUCCCGGGUCUUGUACACACCGCCCGUCACGCCAUGGAAGCCAGUAAUGCCUGAAGUCCUGAGCUUGCUCAGACCCAAGGCAGGACUGGUGACUGGGGCGAAGUCGGAACAAGGUA
rnacentral:rRNA from 1 species